CGUAAAUUACACUGAUGUUAUUAUGGCGUAAACCAUUUGAACGUAAUGUCUAAGGCACCCUUGAGGAAGAAAUGGGCCCCCAUGGACUGUAGCCCGCCAGGCUCCCUCUAUCCAUGGAAUUUUCUAGCCAGUGUUGGCAAACAUUUUAUGUUUGAGAGAGCUUGGAAGAUCGUGUCCUUGGGCAGCAGUUCCAAACAUGGAGUUACCCAGGGAACGCUUUUAAAUAAUGUAUUCUGAAACUCAGUCCUUGAAGAUUCUGAGGCAAUAGAUCUGAAGUGGAUCUUUAGAACUCAUCUUUUAAAGCUCCCCAGGUGAAGCUAGGACUUGAGGACCUUCCUCAUCUUUUGAAAUUCCCAGGUGGGGCAAGAAUUUGAGGACCAUUGCCCCGGGAUUGCCAGUGCUAUUCUCCUAGUGUUUCCUUUCUAGGCAUGUAUAGGAUCUUCGUUCUGUGACCAGGGAUUGAACCCACACUCUCUGCAUUUGGACCACCAGUGAAGUUUCAACAUAUAUUUAUUUGGUUGUUUAUUGUCUCUCUCCCCAACUAGAAUGCACACUCUGUGGGGGAGGGGUUCUGUCUGUAUCUGUGUCUGUCUGCCUAGCGCUUGGCACCUAGUCAGGGCCCAUUACGUAUGUGU
ensembl:lncRNA